GCCCCCAUAGGCUAACGGAUAGACUACUAGGUUGCGGUCCUGGAGAUCGGGGUUCAAUUCCUCGUGGGGGCG
rnacentral:tRNA from 1 species